rnacentral:rRNA from 1 species
UGAGGAAUAUUGGUCAAUGGGUGCAAGCCUGAACCAGCCAUCCCGCGUGAAGGACGACUGCCCUAUGGGUUGUAAACUUCUUUUGUAUAGGGAUAAACCUACCCUCGUGAGGGUAGCUGAAGGUACUAUACGAAUAAGCACCGGCUAACUCCGUGCCAGCAGCCGCGGUAAUACGGAGGGUGCAAGCGUUAUCCGGAUUUAUUGGGUUUAAAGGGUCCGUAGGCGGACUUAUAAGUCAGUGGUGAAAGCCUGUCGCUUAACGAUAGAACUGCCAUUGAUACUGUAAGUCUUGAGUAUAUUUGAGGUAGCUGGAAUAAGUAGUGUAGCGGUGAAAUGCAUAGAUAUUACUUAGAACACCAAUUGCGAAGGCAGGUUACCAGGAUAUAACUGACGCUGAGGGACGAAAGCGUGGGGAGCGAACA